UACAGAGGUGGCAAGCGUUGUUCGGAAUUACUGGGCGUAAAGGGCGCAUAGGCGGCCUUGUCAGUCAGACGUGAAAUCCCCAGGCUUAACCUGGGAACUGCGUCUGAUACUACAAGGCUGGAGUUCGGGAGAGGAAUGUGGAAUUCCAGGUGUAGCGGUGAAAUGCGUAGAUAUCUGGAGGAACACCGGUGGCGAAGGCGGCAUUCUGGACCGAAACUGACGCUGAUGCGCGAAAGCCAGGGGAGCAAACAGG
rnacentral:rRNA from 1 species